CGGACGGGUGAGUAACACGUGGAUAACCUACCUAUAAGACUGGGAUAACUUCGGGAAACCGGAGCUAAUACCGGAUAAUAUUUUGAACCGCAUGGUUCAAAAGUGAAAGACGGUCUUGCCGUCACUUAUAGAUGGAUCCGCGCUGCAUUAGCUAGUUGGUAAGGUAACGGCUUACCAAGGCAACGAUGCAUAGCCGACCUGAGAGGGUGAUCGGCCACACUGGAACUGAGACACGGUCCAG
rnacentral:rRNA from 1 species